rnacentral:rRNA from 1 species
AUUGAACGCUGGCGGCAUGCUUUACACAUGCAAGUCGAACGGUAACGGGGACUUCGGUCUGCCGACGAGUGGCGAACGGGUGAGUAAUAUAUCGGAACGUGCCCAGUAAUGGGGGAUAGCUCGGCGAAAGCCGGAUUAAUACCGCAUACGCCCUGAGGGGGAAAGUGGGGGAUCUUCGGACCUCACGUUAUUGGAGCGGCCGAUAUCAGAUUAGCUAGUUGGUGGGGUAAUGGCCUACCAAGUCUACGAUCCAUAGCUGGUUUGAGAGGAUGAUCAGCAACACUGGGACUGAGACACGGCCCAGACUCCUACGGGAGGCAGCAGUGGGGAAUCUUAGACAAUGGGCGCAAGCCUGAUCUAGCCAUGCCGCGUGGACGACGAAGGCCUUAGGGUUGUAAAGUCCUUUCAGAUGGGAAGAUAAUGACGGUACCAUCAGAAGAAGCCCCGGCUAACUCCGUG